AGAUGGGGGACCGCCUGGAGAGACUGGGCUGGAGGCUUUUGGAUUGCCUCUCCAUUCCCACUUUCCCCUACUAGUCACAAUGCUUCCCAACUGCCUCUUGACUCUCUAGUACCCUGUUUCCCACCCACCUGUGCCCCCCCCCCCGGUGGCCCGCUACACCCCUCCCCCCGUGGAAGUCAGUCUCGGCAUUCCCGGGCAUCAUAGCAACAUGAGGGUGCCCCAGCCCGGAAGGGCCCAGGACCUCCCAGUGGGUUUCCGUCCCAGCAGCCCGGGCGCCACAGCAGUCUGACAGCGCCCCAUCCCAGAAGCUCACCUGCACCCCUGCUGUGGAAGAAAACCUACCUAUAGGGGUACUCCCUGGCAGCCCAUGAAGCCAUAGUAGCCUGAAAGUGCUCAAGCCCAGAAAACAAUAGUUACUUCUGUGAGAUGAAUGGAAACUAUGUUCCAAUGGGAUCCAAAAUGUCCCUUCAAAAAUUCUACAAAAAGACUGCUUCCAAUCUGCUUAAUCAGAACAAAGGUUUAACUCCAUGAGAUGCAUCCAAACAUUGCAAAGCAUUUUCACAUAUAGCUUUUUUCUAGUUUUUAUCACGGGAUAUUCAUUUUUUCACUAUAGCCCCAAUUAGCUCCAAAAUGUCCAUUCAUAGAUUUUACAAAAACAGUGUUUCUAACAUGCUGAAUGAAAACAAAGGUUUAACUCUGUGAUAUGAAUCCACACAUUGGAAAGUG
rnacentral:lncRNA from 1 species